rnacentral:tRNA from 1 species
GGAGAAGUGGCUCAGAAGCUAAGAGCACUGGUUGCUUUUCCACAGAACUGGGUUCAAUUCCCAGCACCUACA